AUGUUCGAGUAUCUAAAUGUUGUCAGCAAGAUGUUUGAUAGUGAGGCUGAAGGCUAUGAAUUCUACAACAAAUAUGCUCUUGAAAAAGGUUUUAGUGUGAGGAGAAGCUACGUUGAGUGGGAUGGAUCCAACAAAUACAUAAUUUUAAGGAAAAUUGUGUGUAGUCGUCAAGGGUUUCGCGAAGAGAAGCACAUGAAAAGAAAGAUGGAAGAUAGAAAAAGGAGGCCACGAAGUUUAACUCGUGUUGGGUGUAAUGCUAAAUUGGUCAUUACGAGACAGGAGGAAACCGGUCGGUGGUUUGUCAAGAAUUUCAUCGAUGAGCACAGCCAUCCUCUAGCCCCACGGGAUCUUUCUUGUCUGCUGCGUUCGCACAGACGAAUUAGCGAUGAGAAGAAAGCGGACAUUGCGGACAUGGAAAAAUGUGGGAUCCGCAAAUACCAUAUUAUGGAUAUUUUGUGCUUUCAAUACGGUGGAUUUGAUAAGGUUGGAUGCAUAAAGAGGGACAUUUAUAAUUUCUGCCAUGCUAAUAAGCAGGAGACAAUCAGUGCCGGUGAUGCUAAUACGGUGAUCAUGCACAUGAUGGCGAGGCGAGAGCGAGAUGUGGAUUUUUUCUUCAAAUACUUGGUAGACGAGCAUGGCCAUCUGAAGGGACUGUUCUGGGCUGAUAGUCAAUCGCGACUUGACUACGAGGCUUUCGGAGACGUCAUUGUUUUCAAUAGCACAUACAGAACCAACAAAUACAAUCUGCCAUUCGUGCCGUUUUUCGGGUUGAAUCACCACCGCAGCACUGUUAUUUUUGGCUGUGGUAUAAUUUCUCAUGAAACAAGCCAGGCAUACGAGUGGAUGUUGCGGACCUUUUCUGAUUGCAUGGCACAGAAGCAUCCGAUAUCUGUGAUCACAGAUGGGGACCUUGCAAUGCAGAGAGCAAUCAGGGUGGUCUGGCCAGACUCAAACCAUAGACUAUGUAUAUGGCACAUUCAGCAGAACAUUGUACGCCAUCUGCAUGAUGACGACGUAAAGGAGGAAUUCAGAUCUUUCAUUUAUGAUACUUCUUCUAUUGAAGAGCAUGAGAUAAAAUGGAUACAAUUCUUACAAUGGAAUAAAGUAACCAGUGAGGAGUCUUGGCUGCAUCAGAUGUAUCAGAUGAGAAAGUUGUGGUGUGCUCCAUAUCUUGAGGGGCGUUGUUUCCUAGGAUUGAGCAGCAAUCAGAGGAGUGAGAGCUUGAACUCUGUGCUACAUACGCAUCUUGAGGGUAAGAUGUCAUUGUUUGAAAUGCUAGAGCACUAUGAGCGUUGCCUUGCGUCGCGACGGAUUAACGAAGCUCUCCAAGACGUCGAAGCCUUGCAGUCCGUUCCAUUUACAGAGGAAAAUGCUUCGCCGCUUGAGAAACACGCCGCAACAGUUUUCACACCUAGUGUCUUUAAGAUGGUCUUAUGGAGCAUAGAUGCUGUCAGCAAAUGUCAGAUCAGAGAGAUACUAGAUGGAUCAGAAGAUUCCACUUAUGUUGUGUCCAAGCAGGAAAGAAUGGAUAAAAAGUUUGGAGUGCGCAUUGAAGAGCAAGGAGGUCUUUUGCACAGGGUGAGUUGUUCUUGCCGUAAGCUGGAAUGCGCAGGCACACCAUGUUCCCACAUUUUUUACAUAUUGGGGAUUUUAAAACAAACAAUUCUGCCCAGUUGUUGCGUUCCCACUAGGUGGACUAUGAAUGCAAAAUGUGCAUACGCACCUACCAGAAAAAACCAGAUGUAUGACUAUUCGGUAAGCCUGCAGAGGUACCGCGAGUUGCGGAAUUGUAGUCACGCCGCAAGUUUCAAGGCAUGCCACUCUGAUGAGGACUAUCACCGUCUAAAGAUGCUUUUGGAAGCACAACAUCAUGGCAAUCAAUCAAGUUUUGAACAAGCUGACAGCAAGGAGUCAACUAAUGCUCAGCAUAACAGCAUUAGGUUUGGCCCGUUGAUGCCGCACUCGGAGAAAGUUGAUAAGGUUCUGGAUCCCGUGCAUGUGCCAGGCCGAGGUGCACCGAAGAAAAGGCUGCGGGCAAAGACAAAGAAGUCAAGAUCACAGAAUAUGUGUGGCUAUUGCAAGAAUCCUGGUCACAGUCGACGUAAAUGC
rnacentral:rRNA from 1 species